rnacentral:rRNA from 1 species
UACCAGCACCCCGAGUGGUCGGGACGAUUAUUGGGCCUAAAGCAUCCGUAGCCGGUCAUGCAAGUCUUCCGUUAAAUCCAGCCGCUCAACGGCUGGGCUGCGGAGGAUACUACGUGGCUAGGAGGCGGGAGAGGCAAGCGGUACUCAGUGGGUAGGGGUAAAAUCCUUUGAUCCAUUGAAGACCACCAGUGGCGAAGGCGGCUUGCCAGAACGCGCUCGACGGUGAGGGAUGAAAGCUGGGGGAGCAAACCGG